UGCAUUUGCUCAGGCAUGUGGUGGUGUUGCUUAAACAUCAGAUGAUAAGUGCGGAGGCACGGUCGUCCCAGAUCUGAAGAGGGCCAGGCCCAGCCUUGGCUCCAGCACACUCGAACAGAGCAGCCAUGUGUACAGCAGCCAUGUGUUCCUCCAGGGCUGUCAUUUCAGUGCCUGUCUGGUCCAAGUCAAGGUCUUGUUUCUUCCCAUGGUGGGAGCUCCAGAGGUGAGUCCUAAGCCACAGGGAGAAGCGGCAGCAGCUUAAGGCACCUUGUCUGUUCCCCUUCCUCUCAUUGUUUCUAAAAGACACCGAUAGCCGGGCGUGGUGGCGCACACCUUUAAUCCCAGCACUUGGGAGGCAGAGGCAGGCGGAUUCCUGAGUUCGAGGCCAGCAUGGUCUACAAAGUGAGUUCCAGGACAGCCAGGGCUAUACAGAGAAACCCUGUCUUGAAAAACCAAAACCAAACCCAAAAAAAAAAAAAAAAGACACCUAUAAGCACCAGCUUUUUUUUCUCUGCCUUUUUUUUUUCUCCCAUACAUUAGCUUGUGCAGGCAAAAUGGCCAUGGGUCACCUACUCGACCCAUUCCUGAGGCACCCAAUAGCAUUCAGAUGACCUGGAGACCGCCUACCUAGAUCCCAGUGAAAUCCCAUCCCCCACCCCCACCCUUUUACUCCUAAUCCCAUUCAGGGUUGAGUCCUGUCUCCAGAAUUCCCUGAGAAAGCACAGGGGGCAGGGCGGU
rnacentral:lncRNA from 1 species